rnacentral:misc_RNA from 1 species
AGAAAAAGAAACUCUAUGGGAUAAAUAUAAAUAUAAGACAACAUGCAAGCAAGCUCCCUCCAUGUCAAGAAAGUAUCGCAUCGAUGUAACAAGCAGUUGAUUUCAACAAAUUGUCUGGAAUGAAAAGAUCAGGUUUAGCCCGCCUCAAAGGAUUCUAUCUUGUAGAUCAUUGAUAAAGCUGGAAGCAAAAGAGGUCAACUUCUUUCCCGUCUCUCCGGCCAUGUUCUUGAGGGAGGAGAUGUCCUGUGAUGCCUGGAAGGAGAGGCGAUUAAUAAGGUCAGCAGCAGUCAAAUCAAGAUUGGAA